AUUCACAGCGUAUGACACUGCUGUCAUCAUGUCUCCUGGAUUCCUUUUUUUUUUCCCUAUAACAGCUCUAUCAAGCUAUAAUUCACAUGCCUUAAAAUUCACCUUUUUUGAAAUGUACAACUGAGUGAUUUGUAAUAUAUUCACAGAGUUGUGCAAUCUUAACAACUACUUAAUUCCAGAACAUUUACAUCACUUCAAAGAAACCCCAUACCCUAUAGCAGUCACUCCCAAUUCUCUUCUUCCACCCAUUCCCUGGAAACCACUAAUCUACUUUCCGUCUCUUUGGAUUUAACUACUCAGGACAUUUUAUAUCAACAAAAAAGGAAAGAUCAAAAGAAAGAGAGAGAGAAAGAAAAGGAAGGAUGGAAGGAAGGAAGGAAGGAAGGAAAGAAGGAAGGAAGGAAGCAAACUGCGGAGAAACUCACAAUCCAGACAAGACGUCCGCUCAAUUUUGGAUUGUAUCAUUCCAGAAUUUUCCACAACAUACUUAAUUAGCCUCUAAUUUUUUUAAUAAAACAUUUCUAACAUUGUGCUAUUUUAAACCAUAAACAUUCUUAUAUCUUGAAG
rnacentral:lncRNA from 10 species